CUCUAGAUUAUAUAUAGUCUUGUGGAUAGCAUAACAAACUAUAGUGUUCUAGUUAAGUUGACCCUUCAAUCCAUAUGGUCAUACUUAAACAAUGCUAUCCUUGUGGAUAGCACAAUAAAGCAACACUAUUCAAAUAUGCCAUAAGCAUCAAUAUGUACUUGAUUAACAUCAUGUUAAUUUCUAUAGUAAACCUUGUGGAUAGCACAACAAGUUCAUUAAGAUCUUGACAUACUCUAUCGAUUAAGUU
rnacentral:lncRNA from 1 species